rnacentral:lncRNA from 13 species
CAACUACCCAUCUUCUGGACUAUUUUACCUUUUCAAAAAUGUUGGAAAUAUGUAGCAAGUAGCUUUUCAGACUGGCUUCUUUCACUUAGAAAUUUGCUUCUAUGAUUUCUCUAUUAAAAAAAUUUUUUUUCACGUCUUAUUUCUUUUUAUUGCUGAACAGCAAGCACAGUUUGCUUAUCAAUUCAGCUACUGAUGGACAGCUUGGUUGACUCCAAGUUCUGGCAAUUAUGAAAAAGGCUGCUAUAGACGUGCAGGUUUUGUACAGCCAAAAUUUUCAAUUUAUUUGAGUAUUUCUCAAGAAGCACAAUGGCUGGAUCACAUGGCCCAAAGUGACCACACAGUUCUGCAUUCUCAUCAGCAAUAAAUGCCCACAGGAAUCGCUGAAACUUCACCAAUCAAACAUGAAAACUAUUUUGGAGGAGAGUAUAAGACAUACCCAAUUUGGAGCUCUGAACUUCAAACAAUUGCUCAGUUGUCAAGCCAUGUGGAGCAGCCACACGUAGCCAUGGUUCUCAAGAGCCACAGCUGAGCACUCAGCAAAUAGUCAGUCAUGCGAAUGAGCCAUCUGGGACAUCCAGCCCAGAUGAGCCUUCAGAUGAUUGCAGCACCAGCCAGCAUAAGAGCACAAUUGUGGAAGGAAUCUAGGUAAAAACUGCCUGGAUAAGCCCUUCCCAAAUUCUUGAGGCAUAAAGCAAUGAGCAAAAUAAAAUGUCUGUUUUAGACA